rnacentral:lncRNA from 1 species
UAAACACACAGUCCAGUUCAUAGUGAAUGAUGACAGGCCCUACUGCCUGUAAACACACAGUCCAGUUCAUAGUGAAUGAUGACAGGACCUACUGCCUGUAAACACACAGUCCAGUUCAUAGUGAAUGAUGGCAGGUCCUACUGCUGUAAACACACAGUCCAGUUCAUAGUGAAUGAUGGCAGGACCUACUGCCUGUAAACACACAGUCCAGUUGGGCACUAAUUAAUUGGUCAACCUCUAAUAUAAAACACAUUUGAAUAAGAUUUCAUGUUGCUAAAAUGCUGUCAGUUCCACUUUUAAGGUUAGAGAAAAUAGGAUUUUGAAUGGGAAUCAAUUGUUUGGUCCCCACAAUGAUAGUAAAACAAACAUGUGUGUGUGUGUGUGUGUGUGUGUGUGUGUGUGUGUAGGACAUCAGACCUGACACGGUUCACUAGAAUACUAAUUGGAGGAGAUGGUUUCAAAGCAGGAAACAUAAAUAUCUUAACAGAACUGCUGCUGGUUUAUGUUCACCGUCUUGGAAUAUACACAUAUUCUCUCUGGCAGAAAGAAAGAAAACCUGGGACCU